rnacentral:rRNA from 1 species
CCUACGGGAGGCAGCAGUGAGGAAUAUUGGUCAAUGGACGAGAGUCUGAACCAGCCAAGUAGCGUGAAGGAUGACUGCCCUAUGGGUUGUAAACUUCUUUUAUAUGGGAAUAAAAUGUUCCACGUGUGGGAUUUUGUAUGUACCAUAUGAAUAAGGAUCGGCUAACUCCGUGCCAGCAGCCGCGGUAAUACGGAGGAUCCGAGCGUUAUCCGGAUUUAUUGGGUGUAAAGGGAGCGUAGGUGGAUUGUUAAGUCAGUUGUGAAAGUUUGCGGCUCAACCGUAAAAUUGCAGUUGAAACUGGCAGUCGUGAGUACAGUAGAGGUGGGCGGAAUUCGUGGUGUAGCGGUGAAAUGCUUAGAUAUCACGAAGAACUCCGAUUGCGAGGGCAGCUCACUGGACUGCAACUGACACUGAGGCUCGAAAGUGUGGGUAUCAAACAGGAUUAGAUACCCCAGUAGUG